GCGAAGUGCCCUCUCGAUCUGGCGGACGGAAGCCUAGAGAACUCCCAUCCUCCCAGCUCAGAGGGCACUUCCGCGUUCAGGGACCCCAACAGACAGCCAUAAACACCGGUGCAUCCAG
rfam:Frankia sp. ETN1f ctg00346, whole genome shotgun sequence.